GCUCGAACUCACGGACCGCGAGAUCGUGACCUGAGCUGAAGUCGGACGCUUAACCGACUGAGCCACCCAGGCGCCCCCCCCCCACUUUGGGUCUUUAAAUGAAGGCACGAAGGGCACGGCCGUGAGGAGAGGCACAGCGGUAGGCCCGCCGAGGCUCUAGGCUGAGACAACAGAAGCUCUCGGCGCAUCAAGCAAAGGUAAAGGACACGUGUAUUCAGGAGGAAAAAAAAAGAAAUAGCGAUUCUCUGGCACUUUCUUCUUCUAGCAAGCCUUCGCUUCUAAGUCGGGAUGUGGGUCUCUGCAUUUUACUUCCAGCGUCUGCAAGAGGCUUUGGUGCUUUGUUUCUGUUGGCGUGCUACCUGCCCCCCCCCCCUUCCUGCCCGGAAGGUAAGGGCUGGGAAGCUGCAGGGACCCUUUGUAGUCAAAGUGGGGGUCCGGGCCAGCCGCACCGGCGUCUCCUGGGAGCUCGUUAGCAAAGCAGUCUCAGACCCCACCCCCGACCCACGGCAUUAGACUCGGCCUUUUUCGUUCGUUCCGCAGGUGUUUCCGGUACACGUUGGAUAAGUCACACCCCGAGGCGGGUGUGCUCCGGCCACCAGCAGGCACCAACACUGAUCGCAGCGAAUGAUGCAUGGCUUACCGAAAUGGCCGAGUGACAUCCACUGCUGUGUCUCAACAGUGAGUCGACUUCAGGGAAACGUCCAGUGUACGUGGAUAGUAAGGCGUGCUCCGAUACGAUGAUGCCUCCCAGGAGGGAAUGAGGUGACUGUUCCCAGGAGGGCCGAUCCGGCCCGGCCCUCAAGGCGGGUGGUGGCGAGGACACAGCCGCACACAGAGAGAGGGGACUUUGCCAAGGUCACGCAGGGGAACUGUGGCGGAGGCAAGACUGGAGCCCAAGGCUGUAGCCACAGGUCACUGGGGUGCCCCUUCCCCCUUUAAGCCAACUGCCCAGCGGCAGACCCGAGCCCAAAGCGGGAGCUCUGGCCACAGUGGCCUCGGGAACUGGGGCAUUUGCAGGUGACAUUAGGCAAAUCAGCGGCGUAAAUGGCUGUUACUGAAAAUGAAGGUAUCAUGUGGCCUGGGGAGGCCAAGGGUGAGUCAUUUCAAGAUGAGCUGUCUCCCUCCACCCAGGGACCACGGGGCACCCAGUUCUUCCCUCAUGAAUAAACACUUUAAGCUGUUCUGCGUAGGCUGAGAAGCCCAAUGUGUUCUCAGUGUCGUCUGGUGAAGUUUUGCAAGUAGGAAACCCGAGCAAGUGGGGAAGGAGUUGGUCACUGAUCUUCAGCCUGGCUUGCGGAAGUCGGCUCAGAUUUCUGGGAUAAGGACAUUCAGCUGUGUCACCAAAUAAAAACAAAACAAAACAAAA